rnacentral:rRNA from 1 species
CCUUUACACUGCACGCCAGUGCGAUACGGGGACACCGAGUGCGAGGGCAUAGAGCCCUCGCUUUUCUGGACCGUAAGGAGGUCCAGGAACAAGGGCUGGGCAAGACCGGUGCCAGCCGCCGCGGUAACACCGGCAGCCCGAGUGAUGGCCGAUAUUAUUGGGCCUAAAGCGUCCGUAGCUGGCCGCACAAGUUCGUCGGGAAAUCCACGCGCUUACCGCGUGGGCGUCCGGCGAAAACUGUGCGGCUUGGGACCGGAAGACCUGGGGGGUACGUCUGGGGUAGGAGUGAAAUCCUGUAAUCCUGGACGGACCACCGAUGGCGAAAGCACCUCAGGAGGACGGAUCCGACAGUCAGGGACGAAAGCUAGGGUCUCGAACCGGAUUAGAUACCCCCGUAGUCC